UACGCGCUGGCAACCUCGGGUCACUGUGCCACAAUACACGGAAGUAAGGAUAGGAGCCGGUCUUUGUGCCGCUCCGAAGGGUAGAUUAGCUGUAAAUUGUGCAGGCAAUCCCAAAGUGUGCCGAAUGUACCUUUGCAGGUUACUUGUUUUUAAUAGACAUUUUUCCCAAAAUAUUUAUUUUUUUGACCGGGCGUGGUGGCUCACGCCUGUAAUUGCAGCACUUUGAGAGGCCGAGGUGGGAGGAUUGCUUGAGCCCACGAGUCUGAGACCAGCCUGGGCAAGAAAGCGAGACUCCCAUCUCUACACAAAAUCAAAAACAUUAGCCGGACGUGGUGGAAAGUGCCUGUAGUCCGAGCUGCUGGGGGCUCUGAGGUGAGAGCAUGGAGUUGGAGUCUUCAGUGACCUAUGAUUGGGCCACUGCAUUCCAGCCCGCCUCAAAAAAAUUAUUUUUUCCCCCAAACGUUUUAUUUCGGAAAAUGUGAAAGCUUAGUAAAAUGAACAGCUGACUCUUCACCUGGACUGACAAUUGUUAACAUUUUGCUAGGGUUUUUGUUUUUCUCAACCAUUUGAAACUGGGUUACGGGCAUAUUGUUCUUCAUCUCUAAAAAUAGAAAACUACGAAACAAAAAACUUUAUCACAUUUUUAGGAAGUAAGUCAGUUUUUUUUUUUUUUUUUUUUUUUUCAGAGUAAGUCAAUGUUACUUAACAUAGAGUCCGCACUUAAAUUUCCCCAGUUGUCCUAGCUAGGGCAUUUUACGGGGUUUCAUCAUGUUCCACAAGCUGGACUCAAAACUCCUGGGCUCAAGGAAUCUGUCCCCUUAAUCCUCCCAAAGUGCUGGGAUUGCAGGCAUGAGCCGCCACGCCCAGCCUUCACCUUGCUUUUUUCACUUAUAACAACCUAGACUGAAAUCAUUCUGUACCAUAUCAUAGCACUCUUCCCUCAUUCUUUUUUUCCAAUCUAGGAUCCAUUCAAGUUUCAUGCAUUGUAUUUGGUCAUCUUCCUUUAGUCCAGAAUCCACCUGGAUUUUUGUUUUUCAUGACACUAAAUAUUCGAAAGAAUCCAGGACCCUCAGUUCUUUCAGGAGGGACUAAAUGGCUGGUAUCAUUGCUUAUGAAAGUGUGUUGGCCCAGCGUGGCGGCUCAUGCCUGUAAUCCCAGCACUUUGGGAGGUCGAGGCAGGUGAAUCACCUGGGGUUGGGAGUUCAAGACCAGCAUGGACAGCAUGGGUCCACAUAUCCAACCUGGACUCUCCACAGCCAUUAGACAACCAGUGGUGUCAACAGUGAAGAGCUCUCUGAAAUGAAGGAUACAGUGAUGAAAGAAAAGCCAAAAAAACACUUUAGCCCAUGAUAAGGGAAAAGGGAAAGCAGAAGAAAAGGAAGGAGUACAGGAAGCUUAUGUAACCUUUUAUCUUCUAUCAAUACUUGAUACCUGCUUGACUUUCAGGUUCUAGAUUCUCCAAGAGUAGGCUUGACAGAUUUAUCAAAUAAAAACACAAAAUGGCCCAUUAAAUUAGAAUUUCAGAUAAACAAUAAUGUUUUAGUGUAUGUUCCAAAUAUUGCAUGGUAUAUAUACUAAAAUUUUUUUUCUAUUGAAAGAUAAUACAGAGUCUGGGGAUAAAAAAAAUUCUAAAAAAUUAUGUUCAUUUGAAAUUCAAGUUUAACAGGGCAUUGUGUAUUUUAUCUGUCAACCCUAUCCAGGAGACUAUUCUGACUAAACCUGUCAAAGAGCAACAGGGAGGCUACCACGGAACAAAACACAGACACUUUACCCACUGCAGGGGUUAGGGACCACGUAAUCCUUUAGCUUCAUCUCCCAAACUCUCAAAACCCCAAUGCUAUUUGGCAGGAAGCAUGUAUGCACAGUGGAGUUAUCAAGCACUGCGCACCAGGUAAAGAAGUAAGUUUUCCUUCCAGAUCAAAUGAAAAGGGUCAAAAAUACAAGCAGGGAAGAGCAGGCCCACUAGGACAGGAAGUCUGAUUCUGGUUGCCCGGGGGCGAGCUGAGCAACUCCAGCAAAACCUGAACUCCUUUAUAACCACAAGGGGAAUGGCCUCAGUGGCUAGAGAUAGGAUCCAAGCCUGCAGUGGUGGCUCACAUCUGUAAUCCCAGCAUUUUGGGAGGCCGAGGUGAGCGGAUCACCAGAGGU